rnacentral:rRNA from 1 species
CCUACGGGUGGCAGCAGUGGGGAAUAUUGGACAAUGGGCGAAAGCCUGAUCCAGCCAUGCCGCGUGUGUGAAGAAGACCUUCGGGUUGUAAAGCACUUUCAGUGGGGAAGAAAGCCUUGGGGCUAAUACCCUCGAGGAAGGACAUCACCCACAGAAGAAGCACCGGCUAACUCCGUGCCAGCAGCCGCGGUAAUACGGAGGGUGCGAGCGUUAAUCGGAAUUACUGGGCGUAAAGCGCGCGUAGGCGGUCUGAUAAGCCGGUUGUGAAAGCCCCGGGCUCAACCUGGGAACGGCAUCCGGAACUGUCAGGCUAGAGUGCAGGAGAGGAAGGUAGAAUUCCCGGUGUAGCGGUGAAAUGCGUAGAGAUCGGGAGGAAUACCAGUGGCGAAGGCGGCCUUCUGGACUGACACUGACGCUGAGGUGCGAAAGCGUGGGUAGCAAACAGGAUUAGAUACCCCAGUAGUC